rnacentral:rRNA from 1 species
CCUACGGGAGGCAGCAGUGGGGAAUAUUGGACAAUGGGGGGAACCCUGAUCCAGCGCCGCCGCGUGAGUGAAGAAGUAUUUCGGUAUGUAAAGCUCUAUCAGCAGGGAAGAAAGAAAUGACGGUACCUGACUAAGAAGCCCCGGCUAACUACGUGCCAGCAGCCGCGGUGAUACGCAGGGGGCAAGAGUUAUCCGGAUUUACUGGGGGUACAGGGAGCGUAGGCGGCGAUGCAAGUCUGAAGUGAAAGGCGGGGGCCCAACCCCCGGACUGCUUUGGAAACUGUAUGGCUGGAGUGCAGGAGAGGUAAGUGGCAGUCCUAGUGUAGCGGUGAAAUGCGUAUAUAGUAGGAGGACCACCAGUGGCGAAGGCGGCUUACUGGACUGUAACUGACGUUGAGGCUCGAAAGCGUGGGGAGCAAACAGGAUUAGAUACCCCGGUAGUC